AUUGAAACGCCCGUUCUCAUGCGAUCACCGAAGUUAAGAAUAAUCGAACCUGGUCAGUACUUAGAUGGGUAACUGGGAAUUACCAGAUGCUGUAAG